rnacentral:rRNA from 1 species
AGAGUUUGAUCCUGGCUCAGAUUGAACGCUGGCGGCAUGCUUUACACAUGCAAGUCGAACGGCAGCGCGGGCUUCGGCCUGGCGGCGAGUGGCGAACGGGUGAGUAAUAUAUCGGAACGUACCCAGAAGUGGGGGAUAACGUAGCGAAAGUUACGCUAAUACCGCAUACGAUCUACGGAUGAAAGUGGGGGACCGCAAGGCCUCAUGCUUUUGGAGCGGCCGAUAUCUGAUUAGCUAGUUGGUAGGGUAAUGGCCUACCAAGGCGACGAUCAGUAGCUGGUCUGAGAGGACGACCAGCCACACUGGAACUGAGACACGGUCCAGACUCCUACGGGAGGCAGCAGUGGGGAAUUUUGGACAAUGGGGGCAACCCUGAUCCAGCAAUGCCGCGUGAGUGAAGAAGGCCUUCGGGUUGUAAAGCUCUUUUGUCAGGGAAGAAACGGCCGGGGCUAAUAUCCUCGGCUAAUGACGGUACCUGAAGAAUAAGCACCGGCUAACUACGUGCCAGCAGCCGCGGUAAUACGUAGGGUGCAAGCGUUAAUCGGAAUUACUGGGCGUAAAGCGUGCGCAGGCGGUUUUGUAAGUCUGUCGUGAAAUCCCCGGGCUUAACCUGGGAAUUGCGAUGGAGACUGCAAGGCUGGAAUCUGGCAGAGGGGGGUAGAAUUCCACGUGUAGCAGUGAAAUGCGUAGAGAUGUGGAGGAACACCGAUGGCGAAGGCAGCCCCCUGGGCUAAGAUUGACGCUCAUGCACGAAAGCGUGGGGAGCAAACAGGAUUAGAUACCCUGGUAGUCCACGCCCUAAACGAUGUCUACUAGUUGUCGGGUCUUAAUUGACUUGGUAACGCAGCUAACGCGUGAAGUAGACCGCCUGGGGAGUACGGUCGCAAGAUUAAAACUUAAAUGAAUUGACGG